UUUUUUUUUUCAAAAAAAAAAAAAAAAAACUUUAUUUCUUAUUUACCAACUAAUUUGCCCAGGCUGAAAGCUUUACACAAAUAGUAAAAUGCACACACCUUACAUACAUAAAACUAUUAGGGGUCCAUGUCCUGUUAACUAGACACACAGAACAUGCUCACCCCAGCCAAGUAUACUAAAGCUUAGGGCAUAUCAAAAUAAAUAAUUAGUCUCCAGUGUUUCCAAUUUUGGGGGGAGGCAGUUUAGCCAUAGCAUCUAAUUGGAUCAUUGCAGCUUUUCGCAGCAGAUUGCUUAAAUCCAAAACGACCCCCUUUGGCAAGGUAUUGUUGGUGGUAUUCUUCAGCUCGAUAAAACUUCUUGGCAGGUAAAAUCUCAGUGACUAUCUUUCGGUUCAAGAGCUUCUGCUGUUGUUCCAAAGUCUCUCGAGCUGCCUUUUCCUGCUCUUGGGUGUAAUAGUAUAUUCCGGAUCUAUAUUGUGUUCCCACAUCAUUUCCCUGGCG
rnacentral:misc_RNA from 1 species